rnacentral:rRNA from 1 species
UCCGGGAACCGGGGCUCAUACCGGAUAUUUCUUUUCCUCGCAUGAGGAGAAGUGGAAAGAUGGCUUCGGCUAUCACUUACAGAUGGACCCGCGGCGCAUUAGCUAGUUGGUGAGGUAAUGGCUCACCAAGGCGACGAUGCGUAGCCGACCUGAGAGGGUGAUCGGCCACACUGGGACUGAGACACGGCCCAGACUCCUACGGGAGGCAGCAGUAGGGAAUCUUCCGCAAUGGACGAAAGUCGGGCGGAGCAACGCCGCGUGAGUGAAGAAGGUUUUCGGAUCGUAAAGCUCUGUUGUUAGGGAAGAACAAGUACCGUUCGGAUAGGGCGGUACCUUGACGGUACCUAACCAGAAAGCCACGGCUAACUACGUGCCAGCAGC